UACGUAGGUGGCAAGCGUUGUCCGGAAUUAUUGGGCGUAAAGCGCGCGCAGGCGGUCCUUUAAGUCUGAUGUGAAAUCCCACGGCUCAACCGUGGAAGGUCAUUGGAAACUGGGGGACUUGAGUACAGAAGAGGAAAGCGGAAUCCCAAGUGUAGCGGUGAAAUGCGUAGAGAUUUGGAGGAACACCAGUGGCGAAGGCGGCUUUCUGGUCUGUAACUGACGCUGAGGCGCGAAAGCGUGGGGAGCAAACAGG
rnacentral:rRNA from 1 species